rnacentral:tRNA from 1 species
GGCCCGGUGGCUCAGUUGGUUAGAGCGCCGCCCUGUCACGGCGGAGGUCGUCGGUUCGAGUCCGAUCUGGGUCG